rnacentral:rRNA from 1 species
GGCCCUACGGGAGGCAGCAGUAGGGAAUCUUCCACAAUGGACGAAAGUCUGAUGGAGCAACGCCGCGUGAGUGAAGAAGGGUUUCGGUAUGUAAAGCUCUAUCAGCAGGGAAGAAAAAAGACGGUACCUGACUAAGAAGCCCCGGCUAACUACGUGCCAGCAGCCGCGGUAAUACGUAGGGGGCAAGCGUUAUCCGGAUUUACUGGGUGUAAAGGGAGCGUAGACGGCAAUACAAGUCGGAAGUGAAAUACCCGGGCUCAACCUGGGAACUGCUUUGGAAACUGUAUGGCUGGAGUGCUGGAGAG